ACCUGUCAUUUACUGUGCCGUUGGGCAGGGUUAGUGGAGUUAUACCCCACAAGUUGUUUAUUUUUGAUAAAAUUCCUAAAAUAGCCGCAAAAAAACAGCCAAACGCAUGCCCAGUAAAACUUUCAACCCCGUGCAGGACACAGCUGUACAAGUUUGGAAUUCUUUCUACAUUAUGUCACUAUUUAUCAGCGAAUUUUCCUGCAAAAAUAAUUAGGAUUUUUAGCGGUGCGUCACACUGACUUGGCAUAAACGUGAGCAAAACGAAAAAAGUCAGAACAGACAUUUUCUUAAUUUUGAGAAGUUAGCGCAUUACAAUUAAGUGUUUUCCACGGCAGCGAAUCCAUUUAUUUUCAAGUUUCGAUUUGCAAGAAAGAAUUGUAACCCGACUGAAAAGCGGAAAUACGCAAGGAUGCACUUUUCCGGUUCCUAAGGCAUUACGUCAUGGUGAACCAUAAAUAAACUUGCUUAAUAACAAGGCUCCGGUGUUUGUCAUAACACUCAGAAAUCCUUGAGCGCGCAGUGCUGAAAUCAUAGCACGUCUACCCGUAGAUCAGUACUAGCGACGACCGGUUCAGGAGGCAAUUUUUAAAGCGACUGAUUUAUUUUCGAGGUACAGUUACCAAGUCCUACAGCUUAAACUGCAUUAUGGGAUUUUCCGGUCUUCUCCGCCGAAACAGCAGCCGCAGAAGAAGUUUCAAGCGCAUCGAGCCACGUGACCGCGCGGCCCAGUCUACCAACACAGGCGCUCAGCACCGGUCAGCGGAUUCUGACUCAGCCAACAGAGAAAAGUGCACGUCCAGGGAGAUUGGAUCCAUGUUGAGGAAGAUUGGGGAUGAGUUAAACAACAGCCGACUGAGUUUGAACUCGCUCAUCUAAAGAUGGAGCAUUUUCAAUGCCUAUUUACGGCUUGGGUUGUCAUGACAACGUACGUUUCGGAUGAAAGCAAUUGCAAGAAGCCUGUUAAAAAUGGAACUGUUCAAUUUUGCGAGGCUCUGCUGACCCGUGGUUGUUCAGGAUUUAUCACAACCACUAAAACAAACUUAAACUGUUGAGUUGUUUGGUUGUUGAAAAGUGGAGUCGGGUUGUUGUGUGAAAUAUUUCAGUUAAAUCGUUUCAUUGAAGUUUAAGCAUGAAGCCGUGUAAAUAUCUCAAGCCGUGUAAAUUCCUACGUGUACAUUUAAAAAUCAAGUUGAUUGAUUGUUCGUUCACCAUUCCCCGUUGUCGUUUUUUCGCCCUAUUAUCGUUUUUAAUGUAACAACAUUGGACAGCUAGCGUCAUUUAACGCUGAAGACACAAGUGAACUGAUAAGUUGCUAACGCAGUUGUAAAUAUUUUAUGGCAAAUAAACAGUUUAGCACUA